GUUUUAUCUUUCAAUGCUUGAUUGGUCACGACAACCAGAAGUGAAGAUUGCAUAAACAAAAUAACUAAUAGUCGGUGAACACAAUACGGGAUAUUUAUAAUACAUUUAGCCCAGACACUCCAGAUGUCGUUUUACAGAGCCUGUUCAAAAAGUACGAUUUGGACAACAGCGGCUGCAUCGGCCGUAAGGAGCUCGCUAAUUUACUAGAAGACGACCUCGGUGUGACAAGCGACUAAGCGGACGUGUAUGUACAUCUACUGGACAAGGACGGCAGCGCGAAAAUCAGCCCUAACGAAUUCUGCGCAUGACUUCGACGCAACGAGCGAUUCAGUAUAGUGAGCGACACAUCACGCUUUUAUGCGGUUAGCAAAGCCGUCGAGAUGUUUCCAAAAAUAUGAUAAGGAUGGAUCGCAGUGUAUUAGCUGUGAAGAGUUCAAAGACGUGUUGACCGAGCUGGGUCACAAUAAUGACUUUGAAGCCGCAUUCAAUGCCAUCGAUAAGGACGGAAACGGAAAAGUAGCCAUUCCGGAAUUAUUGAAGUGGCUAAACUGGGUUCCGUUAGAUUGACACCGUCUGUAAUUUUGAAAUGUAACGUGUAUUCACGUAAGAUCUAGGUUCACAAAGUGGGAAACCAGACCGGUCUUGUUACAUCGUUUUAUAAUUCAAUAAAGCCAUGGAAUUUUU